rnacentral:lncRNA from 1 species
GAGCAUCAUUAAGCAGUGAGCAGCAUCAGGAAGACUCCUGUCACUUGUCAGCAGACUUGACUUUCAGUAAACAGUUGGUGUCUAUGAAAAUCUAACUGUCUUGUUAAAGAGAGUGAUUUCUGCAUUUGGCAUUUGAAAGACUAUGGAGGAGGCUUGAGUGGCAUUCCCACCAUGUUUCCUGAGCACAGAGGACAGCUUUGCAAAGACACUGCUUGGAAGUGGACUGCGCAGGCUUCUUAGGUAUGUAGCCAUCUUCUGGGACCUGCCAGUCUUGGAGAGAGAGAAGAUCCAGAAUUCUAUAAGCCGCAAACACACUGUAUUAGAGCAGGCUGAGAUCAGAUGGCUGGGGAGAAAUACAGAUGGAUGGAGUUAAGUAUGGGCGAAAUCAACGUUUCCAGAUGCAC